AGACCACCCUCUAAAAACGGAGUUUUUCCUUUGACACAGAAGACUCUGAUAAACAUUCAUUUUCUGUAUUUCAGGAUGAAUUUUGGGUCUCAUCAGGCUGUAACCCUUUUAGUGUUGAUGAUUAUGUUGGAUUAUCCUUAUUUUUUCAGAGCUGAGAGUGGAAAAACUUCGGUUGAAGACAAUUCAUGUUCAGAUGUCCUGAAGGGUGAAAUCAUGUCGAACUCGGUCAGAGGACUUUGUUUAAAGCAGCUACAGAGGGAACAACAGGAGGGUGAAAUAUUAACACAUGAUCACUUCAGACUUUUCAGUCUUUGACUUUCUGUCCAUGUUUGCAGACUGAGAGGUUUCUAAACAUUAUGGUGGAAAGUGUGUUAAAUAACCGUUAUCUGGAGAACAGGAUGUGGCGGUUAGGGAUGUGAGUGUCUGCAUGUCUUUAUUACACUUUCACUUUCAAUAUGAGCACAAGAACAGCCCUGAUAGAGUGUUUCUCUUUUGGUUAGCAGUCAUUUUGCUGCAGUUCUCCUCUUUAAAGCGUCUCAAAACUGUGAUUUCUUCUGCAGCUCCUGGACUGAUAAACUGCAGAAACUCUGAGUUGUGUUUGUUGAUGGAAGAUGUUUCUGUGCUCAGAUGAAUAAACGACAGAGACACACAGAAACUCUGGAUGAAAACCUUCAGGAGCCCCCCAGUCAGACUGUCCCCCCCUGUUCUGUCUUUCCUGUUUUUCUAACAGGUCUGUGAUUCUUCUCUCUCUCAGCCCGGGUUUGUCGGGGAUUUCUCUUUGCCUGAUAUGAAACUUUCCCUUUCAGUCAGUUUCACCUGCUGCUGCCCUCCACACUCUCUCAGUGUCCUCAGUGUCCUGAAUCAGUUCACAAACAUUUAUUGAGUGUUACACUCAAUAAAUGUUUGUGAACUGAGGAGACGAACUGUUGAAGCUUUGAAGGUGGAAUUCUUUCCCAUUCUUGCUUGAUGUACAGCUUCAGUUGCUCAACAGUCUGGGGUCUCUGUUGUCCUAUUUUACGCUUCAUAAUGCUCCACACAUUUUCAAUGGGAGACAGGUCUGGACUGCAGGCAGGCCAGUCGAGUACCCGCACUCUUUAACUACAAAGCCACGCUGUUGUAACAUGUGCAGAAUGUCCGUCCAUGAAAAAGACGUUGCUUGGAUGUAGGGCUGAAACGAUUACUCGAGUAACUCGAUUAAUAAAAUUCCUCGAGGCAAAUUAUAUGCCUCGAGGAAUCGUUUAAAUCCGGAACCAUGUGCAGCGCACGGUGUUUGACACGGAUGGUUAUUUCUGUUGCGCAGCAGCGUGCUCUUUCCGCUCCUUCCGCUGCCGCGCGUUUCAUAGACAUAAUAAAAGGGUAGACCCCGCUGGGGGUGCUGCGCAGCGAGAAAUGCGGCCGCCAUCUUGGUCAGGUCAAGCUUCCCAUACGCUCCGGUCAAUCAUAUUCAUUCAUUCAGCGAUGCCGGAGCACUGUGCGGCGUAUUCCUGUGCCAACAGGCGGACAGCAGAGAACAGGGCUCAAGAAAUAACUUUUCACAGUUAUGAUUAAACAUUUUUUAAACAUUACACUUGACUGUAGAGUCAUUUGUAGGCCAAAGAGGAAGACUAUCGGUCAACUCCAAAAAGGAAACAGCAUUUGCGAACAGCUGGCUUAUUCACAAUAAUAGCAACUUUGGUCGAUUAUCAACAGAUUUGCAUUAGAUUGAAAAACUUUUGUUUGAGAGAGGUUCUAAGAAACGUUAAGAAAUAAAAUAGAAAGAAAAAGGAAGAAAGUGAGCUCUGUUUUAUUAUCUGUUUUAUUAAAGAUUUCUUUGUGGUGAUCUCCUGUUUCAUUUUGAAGAUUUCCUAAGGACAAAAACUUGAGGAAGAAGUGGGAGAUUGCUGUUAGAGGGAGAAAUUCGCAGCAAGUGAUUCCUCUGUGCUGUGUAGCCAACAAGCAAAUUGAUAUGUAGUUUAGAUGCUGUCCUGUCAUGCUGUUCUUGUGUUUAAAUCUUUUUGAUAUGUAGGCUAUAUAUUUGUGUGUAUUUUCCAGUUAUUAAAAUAGUGCUCCUAUAUGACAUUAUUUGUGUGUGUCUACAAAUGGAUAAAUAAAAUUAAACUAUAUAAAAAAUUAUAAUCAAAUCAAUAUAUAUUGAAUUGGCCUAUUAAAACCGCCAGUUAUUAAUAAUUAUUGAGACAUAGCAGGAACCUAGCUCUAAACCUAAAUAUAUCCUUGAUUAAUUGUUAUACUAUAAUACAGCCACUGCUGCCAUGUUCUAAAAUAUCAUUUUAUUCAUUCUGAGUAUUUGAAAACGCCAAAAAAAAAUAUGGCCUCUAUCAUGCCUCUUUGAAUGGCGUUUGCAGAGAAGAAAAUUACGUAGUAUUGAGCGAACUAUGAUUCAUUAAUGCGCUCAGACUUCAUUCCGCCGGUUAAACAGCGGUGCAGAGUGAGGCGGAUGACCGGACCAAGAUGGCGGCCGCAUUUCUCGACAGCGCCCAUUCGUGGUAGCGGCCGAUGCGGGGUCUAUCUUUUAUUAUGUCUAUGGCGCGUUUGGUUCAAUCAUGGAGGGAAACGAGGACAGACAGAGAGAGGAAGAAAGAGAUGACACGCAGAGGAAACGGCAGAAAGUGUCUAAAGUGUGGGACCAUUACACACUGAAAAGGAAAGAAAAUGCCGUGCAGUGCGUUCACUGUAAGGCGGAGUUGGCGUUUCACAACAGCACGUCGUCAAUGCUGCAGCACCUUAAAAGAAAACACCCGGUUCAUGCAUUAAGUCCGCUCUGAGGCAAACGUGAUUCAAUGCAAAGUAUUACAGUGAGAGCAAAACAUUUCUUAUCCGAUUACUCGAUUACUCGACAGAUUAAUCGAUAGAGUACUCGAUUACUAAAAUAAUCGAUAGCUGCAGCCCUACUUGGAUGGCAGCAUGUUGCUCUAAAACCUGUGUGUACCUUUCAGCAUUAAUGUUGCUUUCAGAGAUGUGUAAGUUACCCAUGCCUUGGGCACUAAUGCACCCCCAAACCAUCACAGACGCUGGCUUUUGAACUCUGCGUCUACAACAGUCCGGAUGGUUCUUUUCUGCUUUGGCCCGAAUGACACGACGUCCACUGUUUCCAAAAACGAUCUGAAAUGUGGACUCGUCAGACCACAGAACACUUUUCCACUUUGCAUCAGUCCAUCUUACAUGAGCUCGGGCCCAGAGAAGCCAGCGGCGUUUCUGGAUGUUGUUGAUAAAUGGCUUUGGCUUUGCGUAGUAGAGUUUUAACUUACAGAUGUAGAGAUGAACUGUAUUUACUGACAGUGGUUUUCUGAAGUGUUCCUGAGCCCAUGUGGUCAUAUCCUUUACACAAUGAUGUCAGUUUUUGAUACAGUGCCACCUGAGGGGUCGAAGGUCACGGGCAUUCAAAGUUGGUUUCCGGCCGUGUCGCUUAUGUGCAGUGAUUUCUCCAGAUUCUCUGAACCUUUUGAUGAUAUUAUGGACUGUAGUUGAAAUCUCUAAAUUCUUUACAAUUGUACUUUGAGAAACGUUGUUCUUAAACUGUUCGACUAUUUGCUCACGCAGUUGUUCACAAAGUGGUGAACCUCGCCCCAUCCUUGCUUGUGAAUGACUGAGAAUUUUUGGCGAAGCUGCUUUUAUACCCAAUCAUGACACCCACCUGUUCCCUAUUAGCCUGCUCACCUGUGGGAUGGUCCAAACAGGUGUUUGAUGAGCAUUCCUCAAAUUUCUCACCUGUCCCGACUUCUUUGUCACGUGUUGCUGCCAUCAGAUUCUGUAUUAAAUUGAAUAUAGGUUAGAAAUCAUUUGCAAAUCGUUGCUGUAAGAAAAAUUGUAUGUGUAUGCUAUCACGUGUAUUUUAUCAUAAUGUAAGUAUUUUACUCAUCAUUUACUGAAAAUCACUUGGUGUGAAUGCUUGCAGAAUCAUAUCUGUUUCUUUUUAAUGAGCAUGGGAAAGGAGAAGUAUGGCCUUAGAGUUGGGACUUAUACUUUUCCACUUUUAUGAAUCACCUCUCCCAGAUCUGUCUCCCAAAUAGUUUUAAAGGUCCCCUAUUAUGAAAGAUCCACUUUUGGGGUGGUUUUCUACCAAUAAUAUGCAUACCGGACAUGAAAAAAUUUCAUUCUCUCCCACUCUUGCUUUCCCCUCCUUUCUGAAAACAUGAGCGCAAACGGGCGGAUGGAAAAGCUGUGCGGUUAUGAUGAACUUAAACCCGAUGCUGUGCAAAAAAUAAAAAUGCAUCAAAGUUAAUUUUGUUGCUUAUAUUUGACAUACCCAAGGGUGUGAUAGCAUGUAAAAAAUCUUCAGCCUCUCAUUACUUUUUAUAUUGAAAUUCUGUCAUUUUGUGUGAUUUUUUCUCUUUCCAUCAAAUCAGUGACAUCGCCUCUUAAUUUGGCAUUUAAUUUGGCAUUUAAGGGUUAAAAUUCAUAAUGAAAUAAUAAUAAAAAAUGUUAUGAUAAGGACUGAGCUUUGAAUAGAUUUGAGCAAAAAAAAUUGUCUGGUAUGUUUUUAUAGCAGCUAAAGUAAGUGACCCAAAACAGCCACAACGCAACCAAAGGUAGUAAAUCUGUAAACAGUGCAUUUAAAAAUUUUGAAAGAGAAAAUUAAAAAUAUACGUCAAAUUAAACUUCUUUACCAAAAAUGAUUUCACUCUCUAAAAAAUAGCGAGUAUUUUGGUCAAAAAAGUGAGUAUUUUGCCCCCUACUGGCUAAAAAAAGCCACAAGGUGACACAAGGGUUAACAAACUUCUGAAAAUAAACAUUCAUAGAAAUGGAGGCAUGAUCCAAAACAACAAUUGAGUCAUAUUUGCAGCCAGAAAUGUUGGAUAACAAUUUAUUAUUCACUAGAAAAAAAAUCAAUUCAAGUGUAAGUAUGAUGAAUAUGAAAGAAAAAAAAGAGUAUUCCCUUUUAUCUGGAUCGAAAAAACGCCAAGGGUUAACAACAUUAACCUUGUUCAUAAAGGCUUGAAUCACUUUGGUCGACUUGGAUUGGGAAGAAUGGUUUAAGUAUGGAUUAAUCCAGCAGUUGAAGUCUCCACCUAAGAUUAAAUCAUACAUGGACAAGUCAGGUAGCAUUGAGAAAACCUGUCUAAAAAAGACUCAUCAUCCCAGUUGGGGUCAUAAAAAUGUGUCCUAUGACCUGCAAUAAACCUGCCACCAGAAUCAGACAUUGUCUCAAUAUAAACAAAAGGAAUAUCAAAAGGAUUUGGCUCCCCCCUGUGGACCGAAGCAGAGAGAGCAUCAAAGAUAACAAAAGGUAAAAGGAGGAGAGGAGGAAAUAAGGAAGGAGGGAAGGAGAAAACAAAAGAGAGGGGAAGGAAACAAAAGAAGGGAGGAUGAAAUAAGGGAGGAGAAAGGAGGAAUAGAGGUAGUUCAGGCAGGUCGCUGAGUCAAGCUGAUCUUAAACCAGCCCUCAGUUAGCUUACAGCUCAGGUGAUCGCCCUCUACACAUCCUAUUGGCUAAUGUCAAAAUGGCGCCCUAUUUAAACUGCUUCUCCUGUCUACUCUGCCUGCUGCAAUUCUGCCUUUUUGCUUUUUCCUACCUUGCUCUUCAUCAUGUCGAUCCCUGCCCACGACAAGGAUCCACGGCAGAUUGACUGCUUUCUGAAACGCAGCACCAGCAUGUGAGGUCGAGGAAGCCAGUCCUUGCAAUGACAGAUGCGUUUCCUUCUGCACGAGCUCUCCUCUGGCAAGUAAAACUUUUAUUUCUCCCAGCUUCAUGAAGUCCAGGCUCCUAGAAGUCCUUUAUAGAUAACAUCACAGCUCCCGGUGGUGCCUCACAUCAAUAUCCACAUAGAGCCCCCACUUGCAGUUCUCUCUUCCUCCUCUGUAUCCAGAAAAGCGACCGAGAAAAGAAAACGCUGUUCCCGCCGCGUCACGGCAGUUCAGCUUCAGCCGCCGCGUCAUCGCCGCCGCCCGCAGAGCGCGAGGCCCAACCCCAGCCACCAGAGCCGCGGACGUGGACGACAAUCCCAUCCUGAAAGCACUAUCCAGCAUCCAGCCAUCGCUCGCCCACAUGUCUUCGAGGAUCGAAGCCCCAGAAUCCGGUUCGGCACGUGCUAAGCUGUCCUCCUUCAUCCCAGCUGUCACCUUCCUUCACCGCGCUGAACGAUGACGUCACUCCAGCGACAACCGACGACAGCGUCACGAUCCCGCCAAAGACCCUGGGAAGUGCAGUCCCCGUCUCCAUCGGCGUCCCAUUCUUCCCUCCCGCGGCUGCAAUUACACCGAAUCUGCGGAGCCAAAUCCUCGAAGGUACCGACAUUAAUCUUGUAAAGAAUCUUGCUGUGCUCCGACUACAAUGAUAGACGCAUUGUGGAUUGCGGAGAUGAGUCUGUGAUGCUUAAAUAUCGUGAUGCGCGUCUGUUUAAAUCUCCGACCUUAGCUGAAUUCAUGUAGCUUUCUGCGUAUUUGGAAAUGUCAUAUGUGAAGUGUUUUCAGCACGCAGAACUGAACUGGACACAUAUCUUGCCAUUAUUUCUGAUUCAGACAUGACUUAUGGAAGAAUAUUAUUCUAGGAAUCUCACAAAUCAUUUUCAGCAAAGCUGCUAAGUACAUUCAAAGAUUCAACCAGACUUGAUUAGUCCGUAGGCGACCUGGCUCAACUCGACUUAGCAUCAAGCUUUUUCUUGCUCAAGCUGUGGGUCUUCCUCUCACACCCAGAGUAAGCCAGGAAGCAGGUAUGCAGCGGUACACAGCAGUACGCUGUUAAAUAGAUAAAUGAUUAUUAAAUAAACAAAUAAAUAGAUUUUAUGUUCAAGAGAGGGAGAGAGAGAUGCAGCAGAUGAUGGUACUGUGGCAUCAGAGUCGGCGCCUCGCUAAAUGUGGGUAUACUCCUCUUGUUCAAAGCCUAUGGGCACAGUACAUGCAAGAACCUUAUCCUACAUUAACUAAGGUGACCAGACGUCCCCGAUUUCCGGGGACAGUCCCCGAAUUGGAUGACCUGUCCCUGGAAAAAGCUGUCCCCGAAAAUGGGUAAGGAAGCACAAGUAAGCAGUCCUGAACAACAGUUGUUACGGGAGUUAUUACAAGGCCGAAUGUCCCCUGGUUUCAUUACAGAAAUCUGGUCACCUUAAUAUUAACCCCUGCUCACACCUCCAAUCUGUGCCCUAAAACUGUGGCUACAGGCCAACCGCCAAGCUUUUUCUAAGCCUACAUCACUUCAAGGCCAAGUUACUGCAGGGACGGUUAUCUAAAAAACAGCACGCCCAAGAUGCACCCGCCUUGUAAAAAAGGAGAAUACAGCUGUCUACUCCGUCAAAUGUCCCUGAGCUGGGGAAGGCACUGGCAAAGCAUCCCAACCACUGUUUGUGAAUUAUUUGAUAACAGGACUGGUUCAGGGGUUCCUAGCAUAGUUGAUGGAGAGGAGGUAGAGAAGUAAGAGGACAUGCUCGAGAGGCAGUUCAUCUACCGGAAAGAGAACUUGGCAUAUUAAUUUUCCUUGCGCGUCAUGCCUCAGGGGCGGUCCUUUAUAUCUAGACUUUUCAACCUUGCCAAAUCAGUGGAGAAACUCCAUGAUAGAGUAAGUUUAGAUGAAGGUUGCAGAUCCAAACUGCGGUUUGGUCACUUCUGUGUAAAAAUGGAAAGGCAUCUCAUUCUCUUAUAGUGACUAUCAGGAAUCUUCUCCUGUGAUUUAAGCUAUUUAUAGUCACAGCACCAUAUGUUGGUUUUGGGGGGUUUUAAUAAUCAGUGGUUGCUGAUGUUUGGCCGAAUGAACUGUCUUCUCUGCCAAAAAAUGUGUCUUCAACUGCUUUAAUGUUUUAAGGGUAACCUAUACUACACAAGCUUUUGGAGGUGGGUAGGAUGCUUCAUAGUUUCUUGCUGCUGGCUGCUGCUCUGCUGUUGCCUGGUAUGGUUGUUCUGGGGGGCUUUUUUGCUGCUGUUUUCCCUGCCUCGGCUUCCAUGUGCUACAUGAAAGCUGAGAGGGUCGCCUUGUAUGGUGUUUUGGGGGAUUUCGAUUUAUUUAUCUUAAUCGUAUUUAUGUGCUGCUGCUUUCUCUGCCUUGGCUUUUCAUGUUUGCACAUGAAAGGGAGGGGAGGAACUGUCCCCUCUUGUAGCCGUGGCAUUCCAUGCAAGCGCAUGGAAGAGCAGAGAACUCUCAGAACAGAGAUAUGCCGCCAGUGUAAAAUAUGUUUGAUUGUAAUUAGUGCUGGGCGAUGGGACGAUAGAUAUCGUGGGCACGAUAGAAAAUGUCUAUCGUGCCAUUUUUAUUUUUAUCGUUUCGGGCGAUAGGCUGUAUUUUAUCCAUAGGGCUUGUGCCAUCAGAUGAUUCAUAGUAACAACAACAAUAAUUGCACAUUCAGUAAGUGUAUUUGGUGUCGAACGGGAAAGAAAACAAUAUUUUCUUGCAAAGAAAAGGAUGCGUUGACAUGUAGGCUCGCAUUUCUCUUUCGAUUUUGCGACAUGACGCCGCUUUACGUGCCCUCUUCGUGUCCAGCGUCUCCCGCCGUUGCGGGUUACCUGGGUUACACACGUGAGGGGAUCAUUGUAAGCAGUGCUUAAUUUGUGCCGGAGCAAGUCGGAGCGCGAUCCAGGACCUCUUUUGAUCGGAUCCGGGACCUAUUUCAGCCGCUCCGGCACCUGUUUCAUCUGCUCCGGGACCUUCCCUGUAGAGGAUGACAUUUUUCGGGAAUUCCUGUGGGUCACGUGAUUCCCGCAGGACUCCCACGGGAUGGGAGUCAUUUUUUAAUUAAUCCCUUGAUCGGGACGGGACGGGAAAAAAAGCAACGGGAGUGGGCAGGAGCGGGAACAACAUUAAAAGAUGAUCAUUUUCAGCCGUGUUUAACAACCAGAUGAACAGGUGCGUCCAUUUUUGUAGUCAUCUCUCAGUGAGAGCCAACACUCUUGACCGCGCUAGCAACACAAAAGAACUACAACAGUGGUUUGACUUCCUGUCAGCUGGGAGCGCGGCUGCGCAUUUCUACCCUUCAAGCCAGCAGCGAGGAAACGUAAUUUUGUGACACUCUGUAGUUUUUCAAUCAUUUCUGGAGUCGUGGCGAAUCAAAUCACCUGACCUGUCUGCCCCUGAUAGGCGAAUAAAGCGCUCUGAUUCAUGCUCGGGUCUUCCUACGUGCUUCAAGAGUAAAGUAAACAAUGAUGGAGGCAGAGAGCAGCUUUGGAGGAGAAACAUCUAGCAGUGUGAACAACCCCUUAAAGACCAACCUUUUUAAUAAAGCCUUUGGUUAGUUUUCCUCUAUGCUUUUACUACCUUGCCUCUUACAUUGCAACUCUAUAUUUUUUAUUUUUCUAAUUCUUUUUUUUAUGCCAAUCUGUGACUGUCAUUCUAUUGCUUUUUUAUUGUUGCUGCUCUUUUUUUACUGUGUACUGUAGCACUUUGAGAUUUUUGGUAAAUGUAAAGUGCAUUACAAAUUAAAUUUAUUAUUAUUAUUAUUAUUAUUAUUAUUAUUAUGGAGUGCUUUGGCUCACACUAUCAGCGUUUUCUGUGAGUGUUGCAUAACUUUGGGUGAGCACAGACAUGAACGCACUUCAGCCACGUAUUUAUUUAUUAAUUUUUCUAGUUUUAAGUGCUGGUCUUGUACUGGUACUAGUGCAGCUGUAUACACUUAAAUUUUUCAUAGAACUGAAAGCAUACCAUAGCUAUAUCGUGAUAUAUAUCGUUAUCGUGAUAUAAAAUGAUCCAUAUCGUGAUACACAUUUUUUUCCAUAUCGCCCAGCACUAAUUGUAAUAAAUAAAUUUUGACUAAAGUGAUCCUGAGUCGAAUAAAAAAAGAGAGGAGGAAAUAAGGAAAGAGAGGAGGACAUAGGGAGCAGAGGAGGACAAAAGGGAUCAGAGGAGGAAAUAAAAGAAGAGAGAAGGAAAUAAAAUAAGGGAGGAGAGGAGGACAUAAAAGAGAAGAGGAGGAAAUAAAAGAAGAAGUGUCAGACAGGGGAGUGUGUUCACCUGCAGUCAGGUUUGAGGAAAUAAAACCGUCUGAUGAAGACCAGACCCUCAGGAGAAAACAUGUCAUCAUAACAGAGACGGCAGCAGGAAACAGCGCUGUGACCGACUCAAA